rnacentral:rRNA from 1 species
AGCAGCCGCGGUAAUUCCAGCUCCAAUAGCGUAUAUUAAAGUUGUUGCAGUUAAAAAGCUCGUAGUUGAAUUUUGGGUUUGGCCAAUUGGUCCGUUCUUGUAACGAGUACUGGUUGGUUGGGCCUCACCGCCUGGUGAUACGUAAUGUCCUUUAUUGGGUGUUGCGAGUAGCCAGGACCUUUACCUUGAAAAAAUUAGAGUGUUUAAAGCAGGCUUAUGCCGGAAUACAUUAGCAUGGAAUAAUAGAAUAGGACGAUGAUUCUAUUUUGUUGGUUUCUAGGAGCAUCGUAAUGAUUAAUAGGGAUAGUUGGGGGCAUUAGUAUUCAAUUGUCAGAGGUGAAAUUCUUGGAUUUAUUGAAGACUAACUACUGCGAAAGCAUUUGCCAAGGAUGUUUUCAUUAACCAAGAACGAAAGUUAGGGGAUCGAAGACGAUCAGAUACCGUCGUAGUCUUAACCAUAAACUAUAGCCGACUAGGGAUCGGGCGAUGUUGUUUCAAUGACUCG